CUCGCGCCGCCACCCUCCUGACCUCUCCUCUUCCACCCUUCUCCUCCAGCACCUUCUCCCUAUCGGCUCAAUCUCGCCAGCCCCCGCCAGUCAUCCUUCUCCUGCGUCGCCCGAAGGGGCGCAGCUGCCGCCGCUCGCAUUGCUGCUCCCCCUUCGAGCUCGCGCAUCUGAUCCGCCCAGAGGUGUCACCAUCGAUCGCAGGAGGGCUGUCGCAGCCAAACUCAAGGACAACCGUUGUCAUGGCCUAUGGAGUUGCAAGCGGAAGGUACUGUCUCAGGCCUUCCAGAUCUGAUUUUGAGCAUUUUUCUCCAUAUACAUUAGUACGAAUUUGCGAUCAAUCGAGUGGAGUCGUGGAGAGUAUGUUGGUUUGUUAGGUAUUGGAAUAUCGUUUGUGGGUGAAUGAAUCUUUUCCCGUGCAUAUUUUUUCUUUUGGAGAUGUUGCCUUUUCUUGACUCGGUUUGUUGUCAUGCGUGCCUCCAUGGCCAGGUUGGAGUGGCGAUGGCAGCCGCAGCGGGAUGGACGGUGCCUGCAACAAGCAGUUCCUCAUCUUGGCAUCUGACGAAAAUGGUCAUCUGGUGACGAACACCUCCUCCUUCUCUUCUCUGUAUGUGCUGCUCCCAUCACUCGAUUCGGUUUCCUCUGACCACCACAAGGGUUUACGUUGAGGGAUUUUGAAUGGGGUGCUCAAUAUUUCGCUGAAAAAAUAUUAUGUUUCAUCCUGGCACAAAAUGUUGGUGCAUAAUGCUAAAUUCUUCCUGGGAUACAUAGAUAGAUCAUACUGGAAGCUAUUUCAGAAUAGGGUAUCUUGCUGGGGAAACGUACUUUGUAGUGUGUGAUGUCUGCAUAUCAAUGUUAGUGUUACAUGCUCUGUAUAAAAGAGAUUUGGGUUGUUUAAAGUCCCAUUGAAAAGAAUGUUUAUUCAUUCUAGGUCUUAGAUACAAUAUGUUGUGUCGUACUAAAGUCUACCUGCAAAAUACAUGACCUAUAGAUGAUAUAGUUGUUUUGGUACAAAACUAAGAGUUGAAUUGUCCUAUGUUCGCUGAUCCGUUGGGCUUCAAAAUGAACAAGUGGAUCUAAUUGUUA
rnacentral:lncRNA from 1 species